UGUCCAAGUAGCACAAGUUGUCGAUUAUCUCAGAUCAUCCCAAGAUCUAGUUUAGUGUAGGUGCCAAAAGCACCCUAAUUCUAAUUGGCCUUUAUUAGCUUAAUCAUGUUGGUUGAUUUGACAAAGGACUUGAGAAGUGGCUGGUGUUGAGCCACAUUUUCGUAUGUUUGAUGGGUGAUUUACAUAGCCUGGCUACUGAUAUUUCAGACUAGAAUAAUCAUUGUGAAGCCUAUCCAAAAGGAAAGAUCAGCCAAGUAGACAAAAGAGAAAUUUCUUUGGAUUUGAUUGCCAGAAUCACCAGAUUUCAUUCACAAUAUAAUAGGAAGAGGAUAGAGAAAAAAGAAAAUGAGUAGCUCUGUGGGUUUUGUUUGGGAGCAGGAGAAGGUUUUGGUCUCUUGGGAUCAGGUUGAAGGCUGAGGCCCCUAAGAAACUAGAUGAUAACAUAUGGGCUGUGGAUUCUUUUGCAGACCUAGUUCAUUUGUAUGAUCAUUCCUAUAUUUGCAAUUUCCAUAAUUUUAUAUAUGAUCAUGUGAAAAUUAGAAGUCGAAUUCAUAGCUUUUGACAUUAGGCAAAAAAAAAAAAAAAAAAAACUUGUUAAGUUAAUGAAGAUUCAU